rnacentral:rRNA from 1 species
GGGUAGGGCGGGGCCGGCAGCGGCGGUAGUACGAGGGGGGGAAUCGUUGUUCGGAAUUACUGGGCGUAAAGGGGGAGUAGGCGGUGCUCUAAGGCAGGCGUGAAAGCCCUGGGCUCAACCCGGGAAUUGCGCUUGAUACUGGAGCGCUUGAAUCCAGGAGAGGUUGGUGGAAUUCCCAGUGUAGAGGUGAAAUUCGUAGAGAUUGGGAAGAACACCGGUGGCGAAGGCGGCCAACUGGACUGGUAUUGACGCUGAGGCGCGAAAGCGUGGGGAGCAAACAGGAUUAGAUACCCUGUAGUC